GAUCCUCCUGCCUCAGCCUUCUGAGUACUGGGAUUACAGUACACUCUGGAGAAUGUAAGGAAGAGGGUAAACGUGUGAGUCUGAAUACCAGACCAGCUGCGUGGCUGUGGAGAAAUAUCCACCUCAAUUUCUGCAGUUCCAGAAGCUGAGAAGACCAAGAUCAAGGUUCACGUCAAAUACAAAUUCUAAUCCAAGAAACAUCCACGCAGGAAGAGCAUGGAGAUCAACAGCACUAAAAAAUUAAACUGAAAGGAACGCUGGUUGCUUUUAUGCUGCACAAUCUCCCUAGUUAAUGUAACAUCAAUGCCAACGGUUCCUUUCAGAAGUCAAAGAGAAAAAAAAAAUCAAAGAGAAGACUCAUAGCAACCGUUACAACCGCCACAGAUCAAACUAGUGAUAAUAAUAAAAAUUGCCAGGAAUCUGAAACAGGGGCAUAGACUCGGCGCUGGAGCAUGACUUUUGCUGCUGUGUUUUUCACAAGAAAC